rnacentral:lncRNA from 1 species
CUUCCCCUUCUUUUCAUCCCUCUAGGCUUCUGCAAUUUCUGUCUACCCGCAAAAAUCCAGAGGAUACCCAGUUGCCCUGAGGUGUACCUGACUUAAUUGCUCUCUUGAACCCUGAUUUUUCUCGUAUCUAGAGUCGGCAAUUUUUUACAGACUCUUCAGGCAUGGAAGCAAUGAAGAUGAAGCUCUUUGUGGCUCUCAUGGUGGCAGUCGUGGCUUUCUCCGCCGUGCAGAAGGCUGCAGCUGCUGAUGCUCCUGCGCCAACCCCUGCAUCUGAUGCAGCUCUCUUUGUUCCUACCUUCUUUGCCUCUCUUGGUGCUUUGGCUCUUGGGUUUCUCUUUUGAGCAAACCAAGAAUGUCAAAGUCCUCAUUUUUAGAUAUAGAAGAACAUGGUUUCUCUGAUUCUCUCCAUUUCUCCUUGGUUCAUUAUCUGUUUUUUUUUUCUUCUCUCACCUCUGAUGGUUUCAGCCAACUACCUCUGCUGUUUGGUGCACGAGAAUGCGAGAAAAGAAGGAAACGGGAUGGAAAAAUUCUCCUCUUUUUUGUAUUAUGUUAUUUUGGAGAUGUAGUUUUAAGUUUAAUCAUUAUGAUUUUUAUUG